rnacentral:rRNA from 1 species
UACGUAGGGUGCAAGCGUUAAUCGGAAUUACUGGGCGUAAAGCGUGCGCAGGCGGUGAUGUAAGACAGGUGUGAAAUCCCCGGGCUUAACCUGGGAACUGCAUUUGUGACUGCAUCGCUGGAGUGCGGCAGAGGGGGAUGGAAUUCCGCGUGUAGCAGUGAAAUGCGUAGAUAUCGGAAGGAACAUCAGUGGCGAAAGCGACUUCCUGGACCAAUACUGACGCUCAUGUGCGAAAGCGUGGGGAGCAAACAGG